rfam:Gossypium hirsutum cultivar TM-1 scaffold10734.1_1, whole genome shotgun sequence
UGUUAAAAUCUUCAUUUAUUUGUACUGUUCAAAACUGGCGUAUCUGACAGAAUAACUAGACAUUGAUGUGAUGUGCUACGUGUAUGUCAUGUUGACAUAUAGAGACCAGUUUUUAAUAGUAAAAAUGGAUGGAAUUUUCAAUA